rnacentral:rRNA from 1 species
AUUGAACGCUGGCGGCAUGCCUUACACAUGCAAGUCGAACGGCAGCACGGGAGCAAUCCUGGUGGCGAGUGGCGAACGGGUGAGUAAUAUAUCGGAACGUGCCCAGUCGUGGGGAUAACGUAGAGAAAUUUACGCUAAUACCGCAUACGAUCUAAGGAUGAAAGCGGGGGACCGUAAGGCCUCGCACGAUUGGAGCGGCUGAUAUCAGAUUAGGUUGUUGGUGAGGUAAAAGCUCACCAAGCCGACGAUCUGUAGCUGGUUUGAGAGAACGACCAGCCACACUGGGACUGAGACACGGCCCAGACUCCUACGGGAGGCAGCAGUGGGGAAUUUUGGACAAUGGGCGCAAGCCUGAUCCAGCAAUGCCGCGUGCAGGAUGAAGGCCUUCGG